GACGAACGCUGGCGGCGUGCCUACUACAUGCAAGUCGAAGGAAGUGGCGCACGGGUGAGUAAUAUAUAGCUAAUCUGCCCCUUGCUGGAGGACAACAGUUAGAAAUGACUGCUAAUACUCCAUAGCAAGGGAUGAGACUAUAUCGUAUCAGGUAGUCGGUUGGGUAACGGCCUACCGAGGCUAUGACGCGUAACUGGUCUGAGAGGAUGAUCAGUUACAUUGGAACUUAGACACGGUGCAAACUCCGACGGGAGGCAGCAGUAGGGAAUAUUGCGCAAGGGGGGACACCCUGACGCAGCAACGCCGCGUGGAGUAUGACACUUUUCUGAGCGUAAACUCCUUGUGUUAGGUAAGCGGUACCUAACGAAUAAGCACCGGCUAACUCCGUGCCAGCAGCCGCGGUAAUAC
rnacentral:rRNA from 1 species